AUACGUAGGGUGCAAGCGUUAAUCGGAAUUACUGGGCGUAAAGCGUGCGCAGGCGGUUUUGUAAGACAGAGGUGAAAUCCCCGGGCUCAACCUGGGAACUGCCUUUGUGACUGCAAGGCUGGAGUGCGGCAGAGGGGGAUGGAAUUCCGCGUGUAGCAGUGAAAUGCGUAGAUAUGCGGAGGAACACCGAUGGCGAAGGCAAUCCCCUGGGCCUGCACUGACGCUCAUGCACGAAAGCGUGGGGAGCAAACAGGAUUAGAUACCCUGGUAGUCCACGCCCUAAACGAUGUCAACUGGUUGUUGGGAAUUCAUUUUCUCAGUAACGAAGCUAACGCGUGAAGUUGACCGCCUGGGGAGUACGGCCGCAAGGUUGAA
rnacentral:rRNA from 1 species